rnacentral:rRNA from 1 species
UACGAAGGGGGCUAGCGUUGUUCGGAAUCACUGGGCGUAAAGCGUCCGCAGGUGGCAGUUCAAGUCUGCUGUCAAAGACCGGGGCUUAACUUCGGAAAGGCAGUGGAAACUGAACAGCUAGAGUAUGGUAGGGGCAGAGGGAAUUCCUGGUGUAGCGGUGAAAUGCGUAGAGAUCAGGAAGAACAUCGGUGGCGAAGGCGCUCUGCUGGACCAUAACUGACACUCAGGGACGAAAGCUAGGGGAGCGAAUGGG